CACAUAUUAAAUACUGUACUUAAUAUUACGUGACAUUAUACUUAGUUCAUAUGUCACUGUGUUAUUACAACUUUGUUAGCUGGAUAUCGCAUACAGUCUUAGACACAUAUGGAUGGUUUUAAGUCGGAGAUCCAAAAACUUUCACGUUGGUUUAAGAACCUGUCAUAGUCACCUCUUCUUUUAUCCCGUCUUACUAGUUCUAACCCACAAAAUCUCAAGCCAUGCGAUUUACCUGAGUGAUGUACUUUAAGAUGGUGGGCAAUGGGUGUUUCUAUAGUAAGUUUAAGUGACCUGACAUGUUCUUUAAUCCUUUCUUUGAAGGGACGGAAAGUUUUGCCGACGUAUUUACAAUCACACUCGCAGGUAAGUAAAUACACUAAGCCUGCGGUGUUGCAAUUAAAAAAGGAGGUGAUAUUGAAGGAAUGUUUAUUUUUACUGUCAGAAACAUUUUUAGAAUCCCGUUUAAAGUAUUUACAAGCAACGCAGCGCCCGCAUUGGAAUGAGCCUGUAAUCAGAGUAUUAAGCCAGGUUUUUGUAUUGGAGCGUUGGGGUUGAAAAUGAGUGGGAACUAAGAGGUCUCUUAAGUUUUUCCCUCUGCGUGCCGUCAUUUCGACUCUUUGACCCAAGAUCCUUUUGAGGUGUGUAUCUCCAGUCAGAAGGGGCCAACAUUUCUGGAUACCAGAUUUAACACUAUC